ensembl:lncRNA
GUGAGGCGUACGCAGGAGAAGGCGUCCUUGAGAUCUAGUACUCACCGGGAGAGGCGGAGAGGCGGGUAUAGCUUGGGCGGUUCGGCUGGAGCCGGAUCCUGGAAGUGUUGGCCAGAGGCUUCUGUCACCGGGAUUCGAGCCUGCGGAGGUGGUGGCUCUAUGACCUCGGGGAGAGCUGGCGGAGGAGCAGCGGCUGCUGCAGGAACUUCACCUGGCCCUGGAUCGGGAAUUAAGGCGGCCUCCGGUCCUGGUGGAGCACUGGGAGGCAGGCGCGUCAUUAUCCAGCAUGCGGGGAGGGGGUCAGGUCGUCCCGUCCAAAUCCUGUAGAAUUUCCUUUUUUAUCAUCAGUCAAUUUUUGUGCCAUUAAUAUUUUUCCCUUUCCCUUCUGGAUACAGAACCUUGUCCAAGUAGGAGGGUCUUGAGCUAACCCUAGCCAUGAGUCAAUGUAUGGAUAUUGAUCCGGGUGUCCUGGCUCUCCUGUGACUACUGUAUAGACUGCUUCCACUAUUUUUAAGUCCAUGGUGUUCCCUGGCAGCCAUCCUACUCCCACAGGGGGCCAUUCGACCUCACGGAGUAUGUGGAGGCGGUUAGGCUUCAUCUUCACCCCACAGUCUCCUCCUAAUCCCUCCUUUAAUUUUUAAUCCUGCGCUCCAAUACGGCUGCCUUAGAUUCACUUCCCCCCAUCUUGUUUACCUUCUCAGACCUUCUCCUACUUUUCGUUCUGUCUACGAAGUUCUCGGUACCCUAUGUACUUCUGAUACUUCCACUCAAUCAAACACUUAAAUUGCCAUUCUGCCUCCGUCCUAACUGGGGUGAGAAGAGCCUUACCUGCCAGAUCCCAGAGGGAGAAGGGGGAUCGGCGUGUCUUCACCUGCCGGUCAGCACAGCCGAACCAGAACACCACGUGGUCCAAGACUGUUUCUCCCUUAACUUUCAAAGUCUGUUCUGCUUUGGUGGACUUGAUCAGGCACUAAACACAGAGUUCAGAGUCCAUUGGAAAGGUGGCCGAGCAUGAUCAGCAUGAACAGGCCUAAGAUGGAGUCCUAUGAAUUCCUUCUUCAGUCUUAUAUGAUUUUACACAGGGUGGUGGUGAUGAAAGCAAAUCCACAUUUUAAGGCAAGACGAGAAAAAUGUAAACAAACAUCACCAGCAUCAGAACGCUCUCAUCUUGUGAUCAAGGAGCUGAGCUGUCACUUCCGCCAGGAGGGAAAAGGCCCACGCUGCCCAUCGCAGAUCUGUGCAUGGUCGCUAUACAGGAUACAGCACAGCCCAGAACUUUCAGAAACCCGGGUCACGGCGCCACCCUAGCACAGUCCCGUUACAGCACGCUUUGAGCGUUCUUGCUUCCACGCUCAGAGGUUCUGCAGCCAAUAUGUGUGGAGGGCGUCCCCAGACACCGGCGGUUCUCAGACACAGUUGGGUCAGCUCAAGCCAGUCCUGACUCCAUCUCCCUGGACGCAGCGAGACUUCGCCCCCAAGAGACUCCCACUUCAGACACCAGCUGGCGGUCCUCAGUGGAGCCCUGUUCUGCCACUGUCUCCCUCAGGUUAAGGGUGUGGUCCUGAGAGGCUCUCCCCGCCCCCAGCCUCAGGUGGGCAUGUGUGGUCCUGACCCACCAGCUGCAGAGCAGAGCGACUCCCGCCACCCUCGCCGACCACCCCGCCACAACCCUCUCUGCAGGUCCAGUUACUUUGCCAGAGGAGCUCACAGAAUUCAGGAACACUUUACUUGCUAGAUCGGAGGUUUUUUCCUUAUAUUAAUAAAAGGGUGUGACUCAGGAACAUGCAGGUGGAAGAGACACAGUGGC